CAGCGCCACGAGUGGGAACUAUGAUUAUUGGGCCUAAAGCGUCCGUAGCCUGUUUGAUAAAUUUCUUGUGAAAUUGUUAGGCUCAACCUAACAGCGUGCAGGAAAGACUGUCAGACUUGGGACUGGGAGGGGUUAGAAGUAUCUUUGGGGUAGCGGUAAAAUGUUAUAAUCCCAAAGAGACUACCUGUGGCGAAAGCGUCUAACCAGAACAGGUCCGACGGUGAGGGACGAAAGCUAGGGGAGCGAACCGGAUUAGAUACCCGAGUAGUCC
rnacentral:rRNA from 1 species